rnacentral:lncRNA from 1 species
GCAGAGGAGGGGACACACAAUUCAACUUAUAACAGGAUUAAAGCAUCAGUGUUUUUAAUCGGCCACUGUCUUCCCCCAAGUGAUUCUAAUAUGCAGCCAAAUUUGAGAGUCAAUGCCCUAGGUGGGAUUCUCAAACCUGGCUGCGUUAGAAUCACCUGGGUAACUUAAACAACCCCCAAAAACAGCACAUACCAAUACUUAGGCAUCAGCCUCAGAGAUGUGAUUUGAUCCGUGUGGGGUGGGAUGUUGUUAGUUUACAGAGUCUCCCAGGUGAUUUUAAUGUGUAACCAGGUUUGAGUAUCACUGCACUAAUAUGUGUUUCUUAACUGUAUAAAUGGAAGCAUAUUUCUUACCUUUCUCCAAAUUGUUUUUUUUGAAAAUUUUUAAUAAAUGCAAGUUAUUUUAAUGAAAGAUAUAUAUUUAAUGAUGUAGUAUUCAGGUCUAAAAAAUGAACAAAAUACUUUUAAGGUGUUAUGUUUCAAAUCAAAUGUGGGUUUUGUGAUAUAAUUUUCUUUGUGACUUAUAGUCCUUUUUUGCUUAAUGAAAAUAAAUCAAAAGAACUUGGGCCUAUCACUCAGAAAGCAAAUGAAGUGAAGAAACUGACACUUUAAUGAUUAAGUUGACUAAAGUGUCACAGCUUUUAGUGAGGUAAUUUCUUGAUUAAAGAAAUGAUGUUUUUCAGCUUUCAGAAGGAGGCUAGACUUUCCUUUCCAGAUGAUAUCAAAAUCUGAUAACAAUUCCUUGAUUUAUUCAGGCCAAUUUCUGUGUUUUGAAGUAAAGCCACUUAUCUGGCAUUUUUCAUUAAGGCUUGACAACAGCUGGCUGCUUCCCAGAAUGCAGUGCUGUGACAGAGAUUAUGUUAUAAAGCCAUGGAUCAGCUGCCUUUGUAAUUUGUUACAUUAGAAAC